UUUAGGGGUGCCGAUCUGCAGUCGACGAUGAUGCCCAGCUUGCUGGGCGGAUUAGUGGCGAACGGGUGAGUAAUACGUGAGUAACCUGCCCUUGACUCUGGGAUAAGCCUGGGAAACUGGGUCUAAUACUGGAUACUACCUCUUACCGCAUGGUGGGUGGUGGAAAGGGUUUUACUGGUUUUGGAUGGGCUCACGGCCUAUCAGCUUGUUGGUGGGGUAAUGGCUCACCAAGGCGACGACGGGUAGCCGGCCUGAGAGGGUGACCGGCCACACUGGGACUGAGACACGGCCCAGACUCCUACGGGAGGCAGCAGUGGGGAAUAUUGCACAAUGGGCGGAAGCCUGAUGCAGCGACGCCGCGUGAGGGAUGACGGCCUUCGGGUUGUAAACCUCUUUCAGUAGGGAAGAAGCGAGAGUGACGGUACCUGCAGAAGAAGCGCCGGCUAACUACGUGCCAGCAGCCGCGGUAAUACGUAGGGCGCAAGCGUUGUCCGGAAUUAUUGGGCGUAAAGAGCUCGUAGGCGGUUUGUCGCGUCUGCUGUGAAAGCCCGGGGCUCAACCCCGGGUCUGCAGUGGGUACGGGCAGACUAGAGUGCAGUAGGGGAGACUGGAAUUCCUGGUGUAGCGGUGAAAUGCGCAGAUAUCAGGAGGAACACCGAUGGCGAAGGCAGGUCUCUGGGCUGUUACUGACGCUGAGGAGCGAAAGCAUGGGGAGCGAACAGGAUUAGAUACCCUGGUAGUCCAUGCCGUAAACGUUGGGCACUAGGUGUGGGGGACAUUCCACGUUUUCCGCGCCGUAGCUAACGCAUUAAGUGCCCCGCCUGGGGAGUACGGCCGCAAGGCUAAAACUCAAAGGAAUUGACGGGGGCCCGCACAAGCGGCGGAGCAUGCGGAUUAAUUCGAUGCAACGCGAAGAACCUUACCAAGGCUUGACAUUCACCGGACCGCCCCAGAGAUGGGGUUUCCCUUCGGGGCUGGUGGACAGGUGGUGCAUGGUUGUCGUCAGCUCGUGUCGUGAGAUGUUGGGUUAAGUCCCGCAACGAGCGCAACCCUCGUUCUAUGUUGCCAGCACGUGAUGGUGGGGACUCAUAGGAGACUGCCGGGGUCAACUCGGAGGAAGGUGGGGAUGACGUCAAAUCAUCAUGCCCCUUAUGUCUUGGGCUUCACGCAUGCUACAAUGGCCGGUACAAAGGGUUGCGAUACUGUGAGGUGGAGCUAAUCCCAAAAAGCCGGUCUCAGUUCGGAUUGAGGUCUGCAACUCGACCUCAUGAAGUCGGAGUCGCUAGUAAUCGCAGAUCAGCAACGCUGCGGUGAAUACGUUCCCGGGCCUUGUACACACCGCCCGUCAAGUCACGAAAGUUGGUAACACCCGAAGCCGGUGGCCUAACCCCUUGUGGGAGGAGCACCAUAGUCACCCAUAAA
rnacentral:rRNA from 1 species